ACAGUACAUCACCUUCAUGAGCGCAUCAGUGAACACCAGUCUAAGGAAGACAUCUCUGAACGUAAUUUUGGAGAUUUUGAUGAGUUCCAUUGAAACAAGGAGGAAUGUGAUGUCCAGUAUCAGUUCUGCAGACCCAAGGACAAAGAAAAUUCUGUGAUAAACUCAUCCAGUGUGACUGUAAUGAUACAAGACACCGGACUUUCAAAUCAACAAUUGUUUCAAAAGACUCCUACUGGAUUCCUGCUAGUGAUGGGAGAAAAUUAUCAUUCUGCCCUGCUGGAAAUUUUCCAUGCUCUUCAUUCGUUCUCCUGUAUUUCCUAACGCCAAUAAAAGAGGAGAUCCCUGA
rnacentral:lncRNA from 1 species